CAAUGAAAAUCCUGAAAAUUUUAAGGAAGAUCUACUGUGCCUUUAUCAGUUGUUAAGAGAUGGUUGGAUCAUUCCAGAAGUUGAAAACCGGA
rnacentral:ribozyme from 1 species